GUCUUCUUGUUAUUUAUAGGAAGUCUGACCUGCCCAGUGAAUAAUUUUUAACGGCCGCGGUAUUUUGACCGUGCAAAGGUAGCAUAAUCAUUAGUCUUUUAAUAGAAGGCUGGCAUGAAUGGUUUGACGAGGUGCUGACUGUCUCACUUGAUUUUUUAUUAUAAUUUAACUUUUUAGUCAAAAGGCUAAAAUAUAUUUGGAAGACGAGAAGACCCUAUAGAGCUUUAUAAUAUUUUGAUUAAUCAUAUUUAGUUUAAUUUUUUUGGUUAUUUAUCUUAUUAUUUUGUUGGGGUGACAAAAAUAUAUAAUUAACUUUUUUAUUUAUUUUACAUUAAUUUAUGAACAACCGGAUCCAUUCUUAGUGAUUAUUAGACUAAGUUACCUUAGGGAUAACAGCGUAAUCUUCUUUCAGAGUUCAAAUUUACAAGAAGGCUUGCGACCUCGAUGUUGGAUUAAGAUUAUAAUUAGGUGCAGCCGCUUAAUUUAUAGGUCUGUUCGACCUUUAAUUUCUU
rnacentral:rRNA from 1 species